GACGAACGCUGGCGGCGUGCCUAAUACAUGCAAGUCGAACGGACAGUUUAUGCCUUUGCUGGCUGCACGAGAGGCGAAGAGUUGAGUACCACGUGGGUACCCUGACCUUGACUGCGGGGUAACUUCAGGAAACUGGGGCUAAUACCGGAUAGGACCUCCUGCUGUUUGUUGUGGGUUGGAAAGUUUCGGCGUGUGGGGAUGGACUCGCGGCCAAUUAGCCUGUCGGUGUGGUAGCGGCUUACUAAGGCGUUGACGGGUAGCCGGCCUGAGAGGGUGACAGGCCACAGUGGGACUGAGAUGCGGCCCAGACUCCUUCGGGAGGCAUCGGUGGAAGAUAGUGCACGAUAGGCGGAGGGCGGGUGGAGGGUCGCCGCGUGCUAGAUGACGGUCUUCGGGUUGUAACCCGCUUUCGCGUGUGACGAAGCGUGAGUGACGGUAAUGGGUCAGAAAGCACCGGCUAACUACGUG
rnacentral:rRNA from 1 species